UCUACGGGUGGCAGCAGUAGGGAAUCUUUCACAAUGGGCGAAAGCCUGAUGGAGCAACGCCGCGUGCAGGAUGAAGGCCUUCGGGUUGUAAACUGCUUUUAUAAGCGAGAAAUAUGAUGGUAACUUAUGAAUAAGGAUCGGCUAACUACGUGCCAGCAGCCGCGGUCAUACGUAGGAUCGGAGCAUUAUCCGGAGUGACUGGGUGUAAAGAGUUGCGUAGGUGGCAUAAUAAGUAGCUAGUGAAAUCGGGUGGACCAACCAUUCAGACUAUUAGCUAAAAUGUUCAGCUAGAGACCAUUAGGGGUAACUGGAAUUUCUAGUGUAGGAGUGAAAUCCGUAGAUAUUAGGAGGAACACCAGUAGCGUAGGCAGGUUACUGGGAUGUUUCUGACGCUAAGGCACGAAAGCGUAGGGAGCAAACGGGAUUAGAUACCCCUGUAGUC
rnacentral:rRNA from 1 species